rnacentral:rRNA from 1 species
AUUGAACGCUAGCGGGAUGCUUUACACAUGCAAGUCGCACGAGUGGCGGACGGGUGAGUAAUAUAUCGGAACGUGCCCAGUAGCGGGGGAUAACUACCCGAAAGAGUGGCUAAUACCGCAUACUAUUGGAGCGGCCGAUAUCGGAUUAGCUAGUUGGGGGGGUAAAGGCUCACCAAGGCCACGAUCCGUAGCUGGUUUGAGAGGAUGACCAUCCACACUGGGACUGAGACACGGCCCAGACUCCUACGGGAGGCAGCAGUGGGGAAUUGUGGACAAUGGGGGAAACCCUGAUCCAGCCAUCCCGCGUGUAUGAGAAGGCCCUAGGGUUGUAAAGUACUUUCAGUCGGGAGGCGUUACCGACAGAAGAAGCACCGGCUAACUCCGUGCCAGCAGCCGCGGUAAUUC